rnacentral:rRNA from 1 species
GCCACCAGGACCACACCAUAAACCUUUUUUAUGUAGUUGCAAUCAGCGUCAGUAUAACAAAUGUUAAAUCAUUGACAACUUUCAACAACGGAUCUCUUGGUUCUGGCAUCGAUGAAGAACGCAGCGAAAUGCGAUACGUAGUGUGAAUUGCAGAAUUCAGUGAAUCAUCGAAUCUUUGAACGCACAUUGCGCCCUUUGGUAUUCCAAAGGGCAUGCCUGUUCGAGCGUCAUUUGUACCCUCAAGCUUUGCUUGGUGUUGGGCGUUUUUUUUGUCUUGCCUUGCCGCGAGACUCGCCUUAAAACGAUUGGCAGCCGGCCUACUGGUUUCGGAGCGCAGCACAUUUUUUGCGCUUACAACCAGCUAAAGAGGUCAGCAAUCCAUCAAGUCCAUUUCUCACUUUUGACCUCGGAUCAGGUAGGGAUACCCGC